CCUACUGGAGGCAGCAGUGGGGAAUAUUGCUCAAUGGGGGCAACCCUGAAGCAGCAACGCCGCGUGAAGGAAGAAGGCUUUCGGAUUGUAAAGCUCUAUUGGUAGGGAAGAAAAUGACGGUACCUGACUCAGAAGCACCGGCUAACUCCGUGCCAGCAGCGGCGGUAAUACGUAGGGGGCAAGCGUUACCCGGAUUAACUGGGUGUAACGCGAGCGUAGGCGGUAGUGCAAGUCAGGUGUGAAAGGCGUGGGCUCAACCACAGAACUGCUUUGGAAACUGUUAGGCUGGAGUGUAGGAGAGGUAGGUGGAAUGCUUGGUGUAGGGGUGAAAUGCGUAGAGAUCAGGAGGAAUACUCAUUGCGAAGGCGGCUUACUAGACCAUAACUGACGUUGAGGCGCGAAAGCGUGGGGAGCAAACAGGAUUAGAUACCCCUGUAGUC
rnacentral:rRNA from 1 species